GCCCAGUGAUGAGACCAAGGCGAAUACGAGCUUCCUGCACGAGAGCUGGGUUCUCCUUGCCUUGACUGGCAGGUAAUCUUGGCAGUGCAGGGGAGAAUUCCUGCUCUGCUGUAAGGGCCUGCCUACAGUGAUUUAACCUGAUCCAAAUUAUUCUUCUCAAGUUAUUGUGGAGUAAUACUGGAACAAGGCUAACAGUGUGCAUGUGUGGGUGUGUGAUUGAAUGUGUGUAUGUGUGUUGGAGGUAAGGAGUCCACUGAGCUCUCUUCGCUGUUCAGUUAGCCAUGAGUUGCUUCUUUGGUAAUCUGAGGGCA